rnacentral:siRNA from 1 species
UCGAUCCUAUUGUGUUGGCC